rnacentral:rRNA from 1 species
GGACCCGCACAAGUAGUGGAGCAUGUGGUUUAAUUCGAAGAUACGCGCAGAACCUUACCAACACUUGACAUGUUCGUCGCGACUUUAAGAGAUUAAAGUUUUCGGUUCGGCCGGACGAAACACAGGUGCUGCAUGGCUGUCGUCAGCUCGUGUCGUGAGAUGUUGGUUAAGUCCCGCAACGAGCGCAACCCUCACUUUUAGUUGCCAUCAUUAAGUUGGGCACUCUGAAAGAACUGCCAGUGAUAAGCUGGAGGAAGGUGGGGAUGACGUCAAGUCCUCAUGGCCCUUACGUGUUGGGCUACACACGUGCUACAAUGGUAGGGACAACAGGUUGCCAACCCGCGAGGGUGAGCC